rnacentral:rRNA from 1 species
GGACAGCCUUCUGAAAGGAAGAUUAAUACAAGAUGGCAUCAUGAGUCCGCAUGUUCACAUGAUUAAAGGUAUUCCGGUAGACGAUGGGGAUGCGUUCCAUUAGAUAGUAGGCGGGGUAACGGCCCACCUAGUCUUCGAUGGAUAGGGGUUCUGAGAGGAAGGUCCCCCACAUUGGAACUGAGACACGGUCCAAACUCCUACGGGAGGCAGCAGUGAGGAAUAUUGGUCAAUGGGCGAGAGCCUGAACCAGUCAAGUAGCGUGAAGGAUGACUGCCCUAUGGGUUGUAAACUCCCCCCACAAAGGAAUAAAGUCGGGCAUGGAUACCCGUUUUGCAUGUACUUUAUGAAUAAGGAUCGGCUAACUCCGUGCCAGCAGCCGCGGUAAUACGGAGGAUCCGAGCGUUAUCCGGAUUUAUGGGGUUAAAGGGAGCGUAGAUGGAUGUUUAAGUCAGUUGUGAAAGUUUGCGGCUCAACCGUAAAAUUGCAGUUGAUACUGGAUAUCUUGAGUGCAGUUGAGGCAGGCGGAAUUCGUGGUGUAGCGGUGAAAUGCUUAGAUAUCACGAAGAACUCCGAUUGCGAAGGCAGCCUGCUAAGCUGCAACUGACAUUGAGGCUCGAAAGUGUGGGUAUCAAACAGGAUUAGAUACCCUGGUAGUCCACACGGUAAACGAUGAAUACUCGCUGUUUGCGAUAUACUGCAAGCGGCCAAGCGAAAGCGUUAAGUAUUCCACCUGGGGAGUACGCCGGCAACGGUGAAACUCAAAGGAAUUGACGGGGGCCCGCACAAGCGGAGGAACAUGUGGUUUAAUUCGAUGAUACGCGAGGAACCUUACCCGGGCUUAAAUUGCAGAUGAAUUACGGUGAAAGCCGUAAGCCGCAAGGCAUCUGUGAAGGUGCUGCAUGGUUGUCGUCAGCUCGUGCCGUGAGGUGUCGGCUUAAGUGCCAUAACGAGCGCAACCCUUGUUGUCAGUUACUAACAGGUUCCGCUGAGGACUCUGACAAGACUGCCAUCGUAAGAUGUGAGGAAGGUGGGGAUGACGUCAAAUCAGCACGGCCCUUACGUCCGGGGCUACACACGUGUUACAAUGGGGGGUACAGAGGGCCGCUACCACGCGAGUGGAUGCCAAUCCCCAAAACCUCUCUCAGUUCGGACUGGAGUCUGCAACCCGACUCCACGAAGCUGGAUUCGCUAGUAAUCGCGCAUCAGCCACGGCGCGGUGAAUACGUUCCCGGGCCUUGUACACACCGCCCGUCAAGCCAUGGGAGCCGGGGGUACCUGAAGUGCGUAACCGCGAGGAGCGCCCUAGGGUAAAACUGGU